rnacentral:rRNA from 1 species
CCUACGGGAGGCAGCAGUGAGGAAUAUUAGUCAAUGGGCGGAAGCCUGAACCAGCCAAGUAGCGUGCAGGAUGACGGCCCUCCGGGUUGUAAACUGCUUUUAUACGGGAAUAACGCGCCUUACGUGUAGGGCUUUGCAUGUACCGUAUGAAUACGCACCGGCUACUUCCGUGCCCGCAGCCGCGGUCAUACGGAAGGUCCGGGCGUUAUCCGGAUUUCUUGGGUUUAAAGGGAGCGUAGGACGCAUGCCAAGCGUGCUGCGAAAUGUCCGGGCUCAACCCGGGCCUUGCAGCGCGAACUGGCGGGCUUGAGUGCGCGGAAAGCAGGCGGAAUUCGUCGUGUAGCGGUGAAAUGCUUAGAUAUGACGAAGAACCCCGAUGGCGAAGGCAGCUUGCUGCAGCGGAACUGACGCUGAGGCUCGAAAGCGCGGGUAGCGAACAGGAUUAGAUACCCGUGUAGUC